rnacentral:rRNA from 1 species
UGGCAAGCGUUAUCCGGAUUUAUUGGGCGUAAAGGGAACGCAGGCGGUCUUUUAAGUCUGAUGUGAAAGUUUUUUUUUUUUCCGGAGUAGUGCAUUGGAAACUGGGAGACUUGAGUGCAGAAGAGGAGAGUGGAACUCCAUGUGUAGCGGUGAAAUGCGUAGAUAUAUGGAAGAACACCAGUGGCGAAAGCGGCUCUCUGGUCUGUAACUGACGCUGAGGUUCGAAAGCGUGGGUAGCAAAC